AACGAACGCUGGCGGCAUGCCUAACACAUGCAAGUCGAACGAGACCUUCGGGUCUAGUGGCGCACGGGUGCGUAACGCGUGGGAACCUGCCCUUAGGUUCGGAAUAACUCCCCGAAAGGGGUGCUAAUACCGGAUAAUGUCUUCGGACCAAAGAUUUAUCGCCUUUGGAUGGGCCCGCGUUGGAUUAGCUAGUUGGUAGGGUAAAAGCCUACCAAGGCGACGAUCCAUAGCUGGUCUGAGAGGAUGAUCAGCCACACUGGGACUGAGACACGGCCCAGACUCCUACGGGAGGCAGCAGUGGGGAAUAUUGGACAAUGGGCGAAAGCCUGAACCAGCAAUGCCGCGUGAGUGAUGAAGGCAUUAGGGUUGUAAAGCUCUUUUACCCGGGAUGAUAAUGACAGUACCGGGAGAAUAAGCUCCGGCUAACUCCGUG
rnacentral:rRNA from 1 species